UAAGUGUAAUGAGGAGGCAUACGGCUGGGGAUCCAUUUGCAGCGAUUUUAUUGAGCAAACACAGACGAUGUCAGACAGGCAGAGAUCAGGAUGGGCAAAAACACUAGUAUCAGAGGAUAGGCAAAAAUCUGAAUCGAGAACAGGCAAAAGGUCGGGGCAGGCAGCAAACAAUCAGAAAAGUCAGAAUCAGGAAACAGAGUCAAAACGGGAAAUCAGAAUACAGAGAGCGGAGAUGAGGAACAGGUGGUGGUGUAAUCAGAGUGACAGAUGGCUGAUGGGAAGUGCAAUCCGGAAGCGUGCUAAUACUCCUGGGACGCGUCUCUAUGGUGACACUCGGACCGCGGCUCGUUGCUCGUGACAAUUUAAGCAACAAAGACCAAGAGCUUUUACUUCUUCUGCUCCAACACACACCAUGAUCUC